rnacentral:rRNA from 1 species
CCUACGGGGGGCUGCAGUGAGGAAUAUUGGUCAAUGGGCGCGAGCCUGAACCAGCCAAGUCGCGUGAGGGAAGACGGUCCUAUGGAUUGUAAACCUCUUUUGUCGGGGAGCAAAAGACGCCACGCGUGGCGUUCCGAGAGUACCCGAAGAAAAAGCAUCGGCUAACUCCGUGCCAGCAGCCGCGGUAAUACGGAGGAUGCGAGCGUUAUCCGGAUUUAUUGGGGUUAAAGGGUGCGCAGGCGGAAGAUUAAGUCAGCGGUAAAAUUGAGAGGCUCAACCUCUUCGAGCCGUUGAAACUGGUUUUCGUGAGUGAGUGAGAGGUAUGCGGAAUGCGUGGUGUAGCGGUGAAAUGCAUAGAUAUCACGCAGAACUCCGAUUGCGAAGGCAGCAUACCGGCGCUCAACUGACGCUGAUGCACGAAAGUGUGGGUAUCGAACAGGAUUAGAUACCCCUGUAGUC